UACGUAGGGUCCUAGCGUUGUCCGGAGUUAUUGGGCGUAAAGAGCUCGUAGGCGGUCUGUCGCGUCGGUUGUGAAAACCUGGGGCUCAACUCCAGGCCUGCAAUCGAUACGGGCAGACUAGAGUUCGGUAGGGGAGACUGGAAUUCCUGGUGUAGCGGUGAAAUGCGCAGAUAUCAGGAGGAACACCGGUGGCGAAGGCGGGUCUCUGGGCCGAAACUGACGCUGAGGAGCGAAAGCGUGGGGAGCGAACAGG
rnacentral:rRNA from 1 species